rnacentral:rRNA from 1 species
ACUAAGUUUCAACAACGGAUCUCUUGGCUCUCGCAUCGAUGAAGAACGCAGCGAAAUGCGAUAAGUAAUGUGGAUUGCAGAAUUCAGUGAAUCAUCGAAUCUUUGAACGCACCUUGCGCUCCUUGGUAUUCCUUGGAGCAUGCCUGUUUGAGUAUCAUGAAAU